AAUGGAGGACCGAACCGACUUACGUUGAAAAGUGAGCGGAUGAACUGAGGGUAGCGGAGAAAUUCCAAUCGAACUUGGAGAUAGCUGGUUCUCUCCGAAAUAGCUUUAGGGCUAGCCUCAAGUGAUGAUUAUUGGAGGUAGAGCACUGUUUGGACGAGGGGCCCCUCUCGGGUUACCGAAUUCAGACAAACUCCGAAUGCCAAUUAAUUUAACUUGGGAGUCAGAACAUGGGUGAUAAGGUCCGUGUUCGAAAGGGAAACAGCCCAGACCACCAGCUAAGGUCCCAAAAUAUAUGUUAAGUGGAAAAGGAUGUGGCGUUGCCCAGACAACUAGGAUGUUGGCUUAGAAGCAGCCAUCAUUUAAAGAGUGCGUAAUAGCUCACUAGUCGAGUGACACUGCGCCGAAAAUGUACCGGGGCUAAACAUAUUACCGAAGCUGUGGAUUGUCCUUUGGACAAUGGUAGGAGAGCGUUCUAAGGGCGUCGAAGCAUGAUCGCAAGGACAUGUGGAGCGCUUAGAAGUGAGAAUGCCGGUGUGAGUAGCGAAAGACGGGUGAGAAUCCCGUCCACCGAUUGACUAAGGUUUCCAGAGGAAGGCUCGUCCGCUCUGGGUUAGUCGGGUCCUAAGCUGAGGCCGACAGGCGUAGGCGAUGGAUAACAGGUUGAUAUUCCUGUACCACCUAGUAUCGUUUUAAUCGAUGGGGGGACGCAGUAGGAUAGGCGAAGCGUGCU
rnacentral:rRNA from 1 species